GCGUACCCUUGGGAUUUCACUAUAAUCUCACGGAUUACAGUUGGAUUGUUUUCCGGGCUCACAAUCCAAAAACCUUGUUGGUUUUACGGGCUCACCAACGAACCUUUACAACUAUGGUUUUCCGGGUUCACCAAAAAUCUUGUUGGUUUUGCGGGCUCACCAACGAACCUAUACACUUGGUUUUCCGGGCUCACCAAGAACCUUGUUGGUUUUGCGGGCUCACCAACGAACCUUUGUUGGUUUUGCGAGCUUACCAACGAACCUUUACAAAGUGUUUAUACAAAUGAAAAGAAAAGAUUUAAACUCCUAGAUGAGCAUAUAAAGCAAUAUGAACAACAAGAAGAGUUAGAAAGAAAUUAUCGCUUUGAAGUCGCUUUGCUCUUCUUGGUCAAGGAAGCUUCACUCUUCAAUGGGGGAAGGAGCUCUUAAUGCCUCUUUGAAUCUGCUCAAUUCCUUUCUUUGAUUCUUGAAUGAAGCUCUUGAUGAAGCUUGUCUUGCUAGGGUUCUCUCUUGAAUGCACUUGAUGUAUUUUUCUCAAAGCUUUCUUCCUCUGAUGAAUNN
rnacentral:lncRNA from 1 species